rnacentral:ncRNA from 1 species
UGGCUGAGAAAAGAGUUUUAAUUUUUUAAAGAGACCGUAGAAAAUUAGCGGUCUCAGGCGAACAGGCACAAAACGGAGAGAAACUAUGUUUGAA